AUGUAGACCUGGACGGGGUCUAUGGAUGAUCAUGAAGGUCCAUGGCCUAGGUUACUGAUCUCCACUGCACAUUUGGGAAGGGUGCUCGCCUAAGAUCUCCCCAUAGAGGGAGAUUCUACGUCAUAAUUUGUUCACGAGGGGGAACGCGUCCGCGUCCGCGGCCCCUGC